GGGAGGCAAGGCAAGGAAUUCCUGAGAGAACAGUGCUUGAAGCUAUGGGAAUGAAUCUGGAGGAAAAGCUGUCAAGGUUGGCGCUUUCAACAACACCUCCACCUCCAGGAUUUCUUGUUGAGAAGAUAAAUUUCAGCACAAGCAGCCAUCCAGUAAUGUCAUACCACCUCGUCUGUUGGAGCAGAUUCUUCCUGAGAGGACUCGGGAAAGGUACUCUGUGAUUUCAGCAUGUCAACCACACAUCCAUGUGUUUGAAGACAUGGCGCAUAUGGCAAUUAGAAAAAGAAACCAGAUUACACUAAUAGGACAAGUGCAUUCUGAGUGUAUUCUUUAUUUUCUCAAAUAUGUGCAGAUUUUCUCUUAUU